rnacentral:rRNA from 1 species
UACGUAGGGUGCGAGCGUUGUCCGGAAUUAUUGGGCGUAAAGAGCUCGUAGGCGGCUUGGCAAGUCGGGUGUGAAAACUCCAGGCUCAACCUGGAGACGCCACCCGAUACUGCCAUGGCUAGAGUCCGGUAGGGGACCACGGAAUUCCUGGUGUAGCGGUGAAAUGCGCAGAAUAUCAGGAGGAACACCAAUAGCGAAGGCAGCUCGCUGGGACGGUACUGACGCUAAGGCGCGAAAGCGUGGGGAGCGAACGAG